rnacentral:rRNA from 1 species
AUUGUUCGCAAUGGGCGCAAGCCUGACGACGCAACGCCGCGUGGAGGAUGAAGAUCUUCGGGUCGUAAACUCCUGUCGAGCGGGACGAAUGCUCCGUGGGUGAAUAUCCCGCGGGGGUGACGGUACCGCUAAAGGAAGCCCCGGCUAACUCCGUGCCAGCAGCCGCGGUAAUACGGAGGGUGCGAGCGUUGUCCGGAAUCACUGGGCGUAAAGGGCGCGUAGGCGGCGCGAGGAGUCGGGGGUGAAAGUCCGGGGCUCAACCCCGGAUCGGCCUUCGAUACUCUCGCGCUGGAGCACAGUAGAGGCGGGUGGAAUUCCGGGUGUAGCGGUGGAAUGCGUAGAGAUCCGGAAGAACACCGGUGGCGAAGGCGGCCCGCUGGGCUGUGGCUGACGCUGAGGCGCGACAGCGUGGGGAGCAAAC